rnacentral:rRNA from 1 species
UACGUAGGGUGCAAGCGUUGUCCGGAAUUAUUGGGCGUAAAGAGCUCGUAGGCGGUCUGUCACGUCGGGCUGUGAAAUCCCGAGGCUCAACCUCGGGUCUGCAGUCGAUACGGGCAAACUAGAGUAUUGCAGGGGGAGACUGGAAAUUCCUGGUGUAGCGGUGAAAAUGCGCAGAUAUCAGGAGGAACACCGGUGGCGAAGGCGGGUCUCUGGGGCAUGUCCUGACGUGGAGGAGCGAAAAGUGUGGGGGAGCGAAACAGGG